rnacentral:rRNA from 1 species
UACAGAGGUCUCGAGCGUUGUUCGGAUUCAUUGGGCGUAAAGGGUGCGUAGGCGGCGCGGUAAGUCGGGUGUGAAAUCUCGGAGCUUAACUCCGAAACUGCAUUCGAUACUGCCGUGCUUGAGGACUGGAGAGGAGACUGGAAUUUACGGUGUAGCGGUGAAAUGCGUAGAUAUCGUAAGGAAGACCAGUGACGAAGGCGGGUCUCUGGACAGUUCCUGACGCUGAGGCACGAAGGCCAGGGGAGCAAACGGG